CCUACGGGAGGCAGCAGUGAGGAAUAUUGGUCAAUGGACGAGAGUCUGAACCAGCCAAGUAGCGUGAAGGAUGACUGCCCUAUGGGUUGUAAACUUCUUUUAUAUGGGAAUAAAAUGUUCCACGUGUGGGAUUUUGUAGGUACCUUAUGAAUAAGCAUCGGCUAACUCCGUGCCAGCAGCCGCGGUAAUACGGAGGAUCCGAGCGUUAUCCGGAUUUAUUGGGGUUAAAGGGUGGGGAGGGGGAUUGUUAAGUCAGUUGUGAAAGUUUGCGGCUCAACCGUAAAAUUGCAGUUGAAACUGGCAGUCUUGAGUACAGUAGAGGUAGGCGGAAUUCGUGGUGUAGCGGUGAAAUGCUUAGAUAUCACGAAGAACUCCGAUUGCGAAGGCAGCUCACUGGACUGCAACUGACACUGAGGCUCGAAAGUGUGGGUAUCGAACAGGAUUAGAUACCCCUGUAGUC
rnacentral:rRNA from 1 species